AUUGAACGCUGGCGGCAUGCUUUACACAUGCAAGUCGAGCGGAUGAAGAGAGCUUGCUCUCUGAUUUAGCGGCGGACGGGUGAGUAAUGCCUAGGAAUCUGCCUGGUAGUGGGGGAUAACGUUCCGAAAGGAACGCUAAUACCGCAUACGUCCUACGGGAGAAAGCAGGGGACCUUCGGGCCUUGCGCUAUCAGAUGAGCCUAGGUCGGAUUAGCUAGUUGGUGAGGUAAUGGCUCACCAAGGCGACGAUCCGUAACUGGUCUGAGAGGAUGAUCAGUCACACUGGAACUGAGACACGGUCCAGACUCCUACGGGAGGCAGCAGUGGGGAAUAUUGGACAAUGGGCGAAAGCCUGAUCCAGCCAUGCCGCGUGUGUGAAGAAGGUCUUCGGAUUGUAAAGCACUUUAAGUUGGGAGGAAGGGCAGUAAGUUAAUACCUUGCUGUUUUGACGUUACCGACAGAAUAAGCACCGGCUAACUUCGUGCCAGCCGCCGCCGUAAAAC
rnacentral:rRNA from 1 species